ensembl:lncRNA
ACACCCAGCAGGAGCUCCACGUGGUGACCAGGAUCAACCCAAAAAACAACACCUCCUCAUUCACCAGCAGAGCCGGACGGGGGUGAGCGGGCUCUAUAUAUAACUGCAGCGAGGGUGCUUUGGUGUGGCUGCUCAUCUCGCUGCCCUAUAACUGACUCCAACUCUGCAGACCACAAAGGCACCAUCACUCUUUCCCCUCGUCCCUCCCACAGGCUGGGCAGUAAAACAGGAGCAGGCUCAUGGGAGACCAUUAACCACCAGAAACACGACAUUAAAGCUCUGCUGCAGAGCAAAUGACUGCAGACUCUUUUGCACAACCACUGAAACUAAGUAUGCCGGACCAGCAUGGUUCCACACAGACAUUGGUAUAAGUUCCACCAAUGUCUGUGUGAUUUCAAGUGUGAUUUACAACCGCACUGAUUAGAAACAACCUUUUAUGAGGACCUGUGGCACACAUAGUGCAGUAUUCGUAGCCAGGUGUUCAUGUGUGUGAAUUCUGGCUGGAUGGUGAAAAUUGCUCAGCCCUCACCCGGGUCAGGACAGCUGCGCUGAGGACCGAACCAAACCUUCCUCCUCGUGUCCCUUCCUCCACCACACACAGAGAUGCAGGGACAGGAUUUUGUACUCUGUGCCAGGCUUCAGCUCGGUGCCGAUCCUGCGUGUGCUUACCACUGGAUUUACAUGAGAGGGAAGUCUCAGCUGUAGUCCUGAACCAGACAUGUAAACCCCAACAAAAAUACCCGGGUCACAACUGCCACUAAAAGCCAGGUGGUUCUGUCUCACGAUGAAACAAAGGCAGGGGUGUUCUCAUAACUUGAAUGAACAGUGU